rnacentral:rRNA from 1 species
GACGAACCGUCCAAACGUUAUUCGGUAUCACUGGGCUUAAAGCGUGCGUAGGCGGCCUGGUAGGUGAGGUGUGAAAUCCCACGGCUCAACCGUGGAAUUGCGCUUCAAACCACCAGGCUCGAGGAAGGUAGGGGUGAUGGGAACUUAUGGUGGAGCGGUGAAAUGCGUUGAUAUCAUAGGGAACACCGGUGGCGAAAGCGCAUCACUGGAUCUUUACUGACGCUGAGGCACGAAAGCUAGGGUAGCGAACGGG